CGGCGUGUAGCGUAGCCUGGUCGCGCGCCUGCUUUGGGAGCAGGAUGUCGGGAGUUCGAAUCUCUCCACGCCGACCA
rnacentral:tRNA from 1 species